UUCAGCCCAGAAUUCCACUGAGGAAGCUGUUGUGGCAGGGAGAUAGCCUGCAACUCAGGUGCCCAGAAACAGAGGAAGAUUCCAAUGACAGAAGGAAGAAGACAUCUCUGUACUUCUGCCCAUUCAAGCUGUGUUCGGAAUGUUGUCUUCAUCUCAUUUCAUAGUUGUAAAGAGGAAAAGUAGCCUCAGGCUAUACAACUCAAGGUCUCUGCUCCAACCUGGCCUCCACCUGUACUACCAAAUCGAUACAUUACUAUUUUUAUAGGUGAUCAUGACUUUUUGGCCAGUCAUAUUUACUUAUCAUUCCCAUCAACAUGCUGGUAAUUUAGGUCAAUAAACUUUUAUUGACUAUGUA